rnacentral:rRNA from 1 species
GAUGAACGCUAGCUACAGGCUUAACACAUGCAAGUCGAGGGACCGGCGCACGGGUGAGUAACACGUAUCCAACCUGCCCUUUACUCGGUGAUAGCCUUUCGAAAGAAAGAUUAAUACCCGAUAUAAAGGAUGGGGAGGCGUUCCAUUAGGUUGUGGGUAAGGUAACGGCUCACCAAGCCUUCUCUGGAUAGGGGUUCGGAGAGGAAGGUCCCCCACAUUGGAAAUGAGCCACGGUCCAAACUCCUACGGGAGGCAGCAGUGAUGAAUAUUGGUGAAUGGGCGCUAGCCUGAACCAGCCAAGUAGCGUGAAGGAUGAAGGCUUAUGGGUCGUAAACUUCUUUUAUAGAAGAAUAUGUAUUAUAUGAAUAAGGAUCGGCUAACUCCGUGCCAGCAGCCGCGGUAAUUC